rnacentral:rRNA from 1 species
AUACGGAGGGUGCAAGCGUUAUUCGGAAUCACUGGGCGUAAAGGGUGCGUAGGCGGUUUGAUAAGUCUGAUGUGAAAUCCUAUGGCUCAACCAUAGAACUGCAUUGGAAACUGUCAGACUUGAAUACUGAAGGGGCAGAUGGAAUUAGUGGUGUAGGGGUAAAAUCCGUAGAUAUCACUAGGAAUACCGAAAGCGAAAGCGAUCUGCUGGGAAGUUAUUGACGCUGAGGCACGAAAGCGUGGGGAGCAAACGGGAUUAGAAACCCUUGUAGUCC